AGAGGGUGCUUCGGGCGAGGUCGCGGUCUAAGUCCAUUGGAACAUGGCGUCGUAGAGGGUGAGAAUCCCGUAUGCGACCGCGGACCGAGCCCAUGUGAAGCCUCUUCGACGAGUCGAGUUGUUUGGGAAUGCAGCUCAAAAUGGGUGGUAUAUUUCAUCUAAAGCUAAAUACUGGCUGGAGACCGAUAGCGCACAAGUAGAGUGAUCGAAAGAUGAAAAGCACUUUGGAAAGAGAGUCAAACAGUACGUGAAAUUGUUGAAAGGGAAGCGCGUGCAACCAGACCUGCCCGGGGGUGAUCAGCCGCUGUUCUCCAGCGGUGCACUCGCCCCGCGAUCAGGCCAGCAUCGGUUCCGGCGGUCGGACAAAGGCCCCGGGAAUGUAGCUCCUUUCGGGGAGUCUUAUAGCCCUGGACGCAAUGCGGCCAGCCGGGACCGAGGACCGCGCUUCGGCUAGGAUGCUGGCGUAAUGGUUGUAGGCGACCC
rnacentral:rRNA from 1 species